rnacentral:lncRNA from 1 species
UCCAUCGUCAGCCGGUCCUCCUUGUACUCGACAUCACCGGUUUCCAGGGACGGAGCCAGCAUGGAAGCAUAGGGGGGCAAAGUUUAUAUGAAAUGAUUUUUUUUGGCUACAACAAUUACUAUUAUAGUAGAAAAAUCAAUUUGUUAGGGGGGGGUCUAGCCCCCCCUCGUCCCCCCCUAGAAUCGUCCCUGCCGGUUUCCACGACUUUCCACAUAUCCGCACCUCCAUGAUGACUUUCAUCAGGAGUGCGUGAGGAGAGGGAAGAAGGUACUGGACAUGCCCAUGUCACGCACGGAGAGUGGCGCACCCAGCUCGUCUCCCGGCCUGCCUUGCAGCGCGAGCGCAUCCGCCGCACGCGCCUCCUCAGCCGAGAUCUGCUCAGCGGUCUUGGAGGGGUCGCCAACGACGUCGUCCUUGGGCAUAUGCUUCGGAAUAACCUGAGGCUCUGAUGUCAAUUGUUAGCCCAAACUACAGAGUACUACUCUCUUCCUCUCCUGCUGCUUUCUUUGCUAGCUGCCCCAAACACAAUAGGUCCAGCUUUUGCCUUGUAUUCAUUGGAAUGAAAAUGGCCUGACUACACCGGUGGGAGUGCAGCUCCUUUUAUAGUGGCCAUCAACCGACUAUAGAGCAGAUAUUUAGACUAGCUAAUACGUCACUGCUUACUUCACAUUUUUUCUUACGUUUGAAGCAAUCAAAACCAAACUGGCUACUAGUUUCUUUAGCUACCAAGGCCUGUGUCAAUGCAUCGUCUCUUAGCACGUAAUCAUAUGCGUAAUAAAAACAUAAGAAACAACUACUACCUCCGUCACAGUUUAUAAGGUACACACGUGUACCUAGGUCGUCAAUUUAACUUAUAUAAAAUCUAUUAUUUAAUAUAAAAAUUAUAUCAUUAAAAAAUAAAAUAUCUAAAGUUUUUACUGAUAUAUUUUUUGUAAUGUAUGAUUAUCAUUAAGUUGGUCAAAUUGACGAUCUAGAUACACGUGCCGGACUUAUAAACUGAAAUGAAGGGAGUAGUACAAUGCAUUGUAUCUAAAUUUAAUGAUUUGUGGCUCAUGCAUGCAUGUGAUUGGGUUAGCACCUCUUUUUUGCCUAUGACCACGUGCCAAGGUUGUAUGUUAGCUAAGAUACAACCUCACUAUCUCUCUUCAUUAAAUACAGUGCCACAUAAGCAAAAUGCCAAUGAAACCGCGCUAAGAGACUCACAUUGGCAUAGGCCUAAGGCAUGCAGCCGCUGCUGCUCUUCUGACCGACAUGCACCUCAUGUUUCUCUCGACAGGGUUUAAUGCUCACAAAUUCGUGUUCCUUAUAAGGUAGCAAUGGUUUUGUCAUGCAAUCCAUUACUAUCUCUCAGAAAGUCGAGGCAGUUAUUAGGGCACACAUUCCGAUCAUCACAUCUUUAAUAAAGAAAACUAUUUAUGAGCUUGAAUCUGUGAUGGAUCACGUUGGUAGACCUAUUGGAUCAGACGUUGGGAUAAUCAACACCCAACAGAACUUUUGAGUUAAAUUGCAUUGGAGUCAAAAAGACAUAUGUAGCAUCAUUCAUGUACUUGUGCGGGCUCAGUUAUAUCUAGUCUUGGAGCUGCGUCGUGCAUUUGACAUAAUGCUGAAGCUUGAUGUUGUAAGAUUUUUUCUUCCUGUGGUUGCUUGCUUUGCUAUGUUUCUCGCACUAAGUCCCUUUUUACCAUCACCUUAGGUGCAUUAUGUUCUGAAAGAGCUGGUAAGGAAAUGUAAAUGCAAGUAUUUGGUGGAGCAGAUCAAGGAAGUUAUAAAUGCUCCUGGAUAUGGAGCUGUAGCUCUAGGUCUUUCUCUAUCCCUUUCUCCAUCUAUUAGAAUUGGUGGAUGCUAUGUUCAAUGUUUGCAAGGGUGAGUUCUACAAUUGUAUUGAGGAUCUCCUUUUUAUUACAGGUUCGACUCCAUUUAUGGUGUCUGCUCAAUCUGGUGUCGGUGCUACCGUCAAGUAUUUUCAUGAUCAUGCUGGUGAUGAUAAAGGACGCACAGAUCUCCACCAUGCCGUGGCUGCAGGUUCUCCCCCCUGACUCACAUGCACACAUGAUUUCUUCAAGCUGGUCAUUUUACUAGUAGUUAUAUACUCUAGUACUACACUCGGUUUGUUCAAAUGUGGUAAUACAUGACUUACUGAAUCAUCUUGCUAGGAUGUUGCAAGGUAACAGAGUUCCUCCUUUCAAAUGGAGUGCUGGUCGACACAAACUUGAUGCCCAUGGAACACCAGCUUAUGUGGCUGUUGUAAAUGAGCAGGAUAAGACACUGAAGAUUCUGUUAGACCAGCCAACAAAGGUAUGUAGAUUUGUGAAGUACUCUUUGCACAUGAGCUUAUUUUAUUAAUCGUGGUGGUGAUGUAAAUGAGAACUUUCUUUGCACAAUGAUAUUUGCAUGUGAUUUUACUCCAGUCUCAAUUGUAUUAACUUUCACAAGCUCAUGUUGUGUAGAGAGCAGUUAUAUGCUCUUUGAUAUGGAAUGCUUAAAAUAUGGCUCAUAGUUAUGGUCUUAUUGAUACCAUACCACCUUAGGAAAUGAAAGAAGUGUACAUACCCGCUUAGGCUUUACGAAAUGACUUUGUAUGCCCCUGAGACUUAUAAGCUACUACUCUACCCUCUGAACUCUGGAAAACUGGACCAAUUCAAGGGGUUGAUUAGCCCGUUCUUUUUACAAACAGGAAAAAAAUGGUAUCUAUUGAAAUUGGGUUUGUGAAAUACUUCUCUCAGCCUUCGAUCCAAAAUUAGCAUUUGCUCACAGAUGCAUAUUUGAUAUGCCUUUGCCCCUUUUACAGGCAUUUAGUAAAUGCCCAUCUCCCAAAACAAGAAGUGCGAUAAAAAAUGCUUCAAUAUUUACCUACGUGGUAAGUCAUAUAUUAUUGCUGUGUUUUGUUCUCAUAAAAUGACGACAAAUUGCAAAAGUCAUUAUAAGAGCAUUCUUUUAACCUUUUACAUCUAUUAUUAUAGGUACUCAUGUUGAUUAUCUUUAGCUCAUUUAUAUCAAGUGUGAGUGCUGAAGUAGCAACUCCUAAGUGUCCGGCACCUACCAUCAAUGGUAUUCUCCCAAGAUACACAUGUCCUGUGAUCCAAUUGACAAGUGAUCACUGGUUGCACUCAAAGCGGGAAUCCAAGUAGUUACUGAGCCCUUUCAUUAGCAUUUUAGAAAUAUUUUGAAAAAUAUCAGAGUGGAGUAACCUAACUAUCUUUUAGAUUUUUGGUUGGUGGUGACCACGAGGAACAUGAGCAGGUACCAGAACAUUAUGAAGUUGAUGAUUCCCGCCAAGAAUUUGAUUCUCUUGGCUAUAUCUUUCUAAAAGAAUCCACAUUGUGCGAUUGGUUCUUCAGGUUGAGCAUUAUGCCACUUUGGUACGUACUUUCAUUUUGUUGAUAUUUUUCUAUGUUGCCAUUGAUCCGCAAAAUAAAUGAGGUUCACAAUGUUUUCCAUAUGGCUGUGAUGGCCAAUAGUGCCAAACUACAGCGCAGGUGUACAAUAGUUAGGAAACCAAUAAGACUAGCACAAAUAAAUUAUUUGAUAGGAAAGAGAUAGAUUCAGGUGCGAAAUCAAUAUUAGGAUUCAUUAAAUUGCUAUUAACGCACUUACCAGAUAUGAGAUUAAAUCAACACCUUUGAACAUAUGAUGCAUUCCGAACACUUCGGUUGUUAAAGUGUUGACCAACGAAGCACCGAUACAGAUACGAGUAUCAGUAUCAGGGGAUACAUAAAUUCGCCAUUUUGAAAAAAUGCCAAUACGGGGAUACGUUUUACUAUUUUUUUUAUCUCUCCAGAAUAGUUGGUUGUACACAUACGGGGAUAUGUUUUACUAUUUUUUCAUCUCUCCAGAAUAGUUGGUUGUACAUUUGUUGCAUACUUGCAUACCUCCAGAAUAAAAAGCUCUUGCAAUUUUUUCAUCCAAUUGCUUGCGUAAAUCAUUUAGCUAAGCUUUCUCCAAUGCAGUACUUGGUCCGUCUCUCCUCUUUUUAGUGCUCGCACUCGAUGAAGCAAAACUUGCUGAACCACUAGGCAAAGACACAGUAUUUGGCUUAUUUUUGCUUGGCUGGGCAGGAGAAGAGGAGAAGAGAAGUGUACAUACCUGGCUGCUACGUGAGAGGGGACGUUAUUGAGGAAGGAGGAGCAGAUCGUCCCCGGCUAGCCACUGCUGGCGCUGGUGCUGGGUGCACAGCUGCCGCCUGGUGUGGUGUGAGCUCGGGAGGGAGGAAAUAAGCUGAGAGGGAAAGGAUGGGGGGGCAUUGGGGGUACUAGGCUGCCUCUUAACUGGGCUGAGUGGGCUCUUAACUAGGCCGUGCUGUAUAAAAAAAGUAUUAACAAAGUAUCCUUCAAAGUAUCGCAAUUGUUUUAAAUCUUUUAUUCUCGGACACUCCACUGAUACGUAUCAGAGGAGUAUCGGAGGCGUAUCGGUAUUGGAUACGGUAUCGGAUUCGGAGUCGCUGGAUGGGUGAAGUAUCCGUGCAUUCUAGGUGUUGACACAUGCAUCUACAGCAUGUUGGUGGUGGUUUAGCCGUCGGAGAUAGGUUCGUGGAGGUGAGGGGUGGUGUGAUCAGUGGUCACGCCUGUGGCCCUGUAGGUUGGCUGGAACGGCAAUGGCAUUGCAGAACAACGGGACUACUUUGUCCCGCUGAUAUCUCCCACUACUUCCCGGUCGUCCCAGGUCUGGAUAACGGGGAAGUCAGGAAGAAUGCCUGCAAACAUAGGGAGGGGAAAGAAGGAGCAACUGCAGAUCUUGUACACACUCCCCUCUGCCCUGGAAAGGAAAAAACGCUCAGCGCCAGCCGCCGCCCAAAAGAAAGGCCUCACACAGGUGUGCAAAGCCAGCAAGAAGAGUAAUGGAGGUGGGCCGUGCGCAUAAGGUGCGUCAACUGGAUCUGUUAGAAUUCCAAUACCUCCAUAAAGCUUGAUAAGGCAAAGUUUAGCCCGCCAGCAGAGUGGUCCAAAAUCAUGACUGUCUCACCCAGCAUUGAUACCUACUCUCUGAGGUGAAACCUUAGAUCUGUCCUUCACUGGAUUAGUCUGGAAGUGUUGAUAUUGGCCCUUCUUGAAGGCCUUGUUGAGGAGGAUCAACGACUACUUCAUGAUAUGAAGAAUAUGACCAUAGUUUAUUGUUGUGUAGUUCUUUGUUCUUAUAGGCAGUGGCUAAUCUAGCGUGAUAGUAUAGGGCAGGCUCAAAUCAUCAAUUUACUAAGCCUAAUUAGCAAAUACACUGAAAUUAUUGCAUGCAAAGCACCUUAAUGUAAUUGUCAUAUGCUAUAUUUAAACUGAAAUACGAUUUUGGAGGGUAGCCUUCAGCCCAUUGAAGCCUCCCUACUAGAAUCGCCACCGCUUGUAGGGAUGACCCCCCUACAGUCUCCGGUUCACCAUUUUUGGUCUUUUAUCUUGCCAUGGUAAGAUUGUAAUAAAUAUGGCUGCGUGCUCCCCUAGUCGGUUCAGACGAUCUGAGAGUUUCUCUUCCGCUAUCUAAAAGAAAAAUUCUACUAGCCCCCCUAUACUCUCUGUCCCAAAAUAAGUAAUGCAGAUUUAGUACUAAGUUAGUAUAAAUUUUGUACUAAAGCAGCGACAUUUACUUUGGGACGGAGGAAGUAUUUGUUUUAAAAGGUAGUCUCCUCCAGUUUGGAGAUGCAUGCACUCCACGAAGAGUGAUUCUUUUUUCUUUCUAUUUUGAAUAAUAUGGAAAGUAAUUUCCACUUGUACUUGACCUCCUAGGAGGUUUGUAACAAAACUCCACCUUUUUAAUGCAAUGAAACGCAAGUCUUUUGCGUUUUCUCGAAAAAAAAAGUAAUUCCCAUUUUUCUAUUCGAGUUUCUUCUACAUGUCAUGCAAGUCUACAUGAUCUAAUAAGAUAUAUCUAUUUUUCAUUGCUAUACAGGCUAGUUGUCUGGAAACUGCGACAAAACCAACGUGUGAAAUUCUUGUUAGGUGAUAGAAGUCUGAUCCUUGUAUGGAUAGACACGUUGAUACUCAGCAUGUUUUAUCACAUUUGCUGGAUUCUAUAUGGUCAUCUGUUAUCCAAGUCUAAGUCUGGAGACGAGAAACAUGGCAAGCAUAUUUAUCAUAACAACGUAAUCUGCUGCAUACUUUUCCUGCCCAUGCUGAUACUGCUUCUUCGUCGACAUAGAACUGCUCAGGUAAAACACAAAAGAUCUGUUUGCUACACAAUUUCAAUAUUGGAUUAUCUCGCGCUCAAAUAAAUGAAGUAUUGAGCAUGUUACUUUCAUUGACUUUCAGGCAGCUAGAUACUUAUGUAUCCGAUUACUGGGCUUAUCAUCUCUUGGGUUGCUCUUCUACUGUUCGAGGGGUGUACAGUCAGAAGAAGAUAAUAUUUCUACAGUUGGCGCGAUUGGUUUUGGAGCAAUGAUAUUAAUGUAUAUCAUUAAAUCGUUUACCGUUGUGGUGAGUACAAUUAAUAAAUACUCCCUCCGUCCCAAAAUAAGUGUCUCAACUUUGUACUAGCUCUAGUACAAAAUUGUAUUAAGCUUGGGACAGUUAUUUUGGGACGGAGGGAGUAUUCUUGGAUUUACAAAGUUUAAAAGUGUAGAACUGGGGAAGUUACGGUUUAAUGGCCCCUUUGGGACAUCCACACCCUUACAUAUCCCCGUUUGUUUUUGAGAAUUUACAAAUACACAUCUACAACUAGGAUUACAACUUAACAUACACACGGGCCUCCAGAAGGCUACUAUUUCAACCCUAUUAGGAUACUAAUGCUAUGUACUCUUAUAUGACACCAUAACUCUACUUCAGACCAAAUAGGCAUAAUUAAGCCAAUCAGUAGCACGCCUAUAUACCCCUGAAGCAAAGCCUAGAGCCAAUGGGCCUUCUCCUCUUCUCAUAGCAUGGACAAAGUUGCAACAACCUAAUCAGUCAUCAGGCGCUUCUGUACAUCUCCACUGGUUGCUACAACCUCCAUCCCAAAUUACUUACGUGUCUAGAUACAUACAUAUCUAGAAAAAUCUAAGACAAGUAAUUUAGGACGGAGGGAGUAAUUGGUAGAGCUUGUUUGUGGAAGAUCAGUAGUUCUUUUUUUCUCCAAGCAGAUCGGCAGUUCUUCUAUUCUCCAACGGAUAGGAGCUCCAUAGUUCAUUUUGCUUAAUCCUGAUCCAGCAGAAAGACAAGCAGAGAACGUAACAGAUUGAGAAUUGUUAAGCUUCAUGCAAUAGCCAACGCAACCAAAAAUCCGAACCGAUGGAAAGAGCUAGUGCAAUCCAGAUAUACUGCAACACCCCCUCUCACGUGUGACGGGGAAGAUAAGUCAACACGUGCAACCGAAAGAGAGCGACGGCGCGCGAAACUCACGUAUGACUCCUCUACGUGGACACAAAGGGGGCUACCAACAAUUUUUAAUAAAUUGCGAAAGCCAGGACUUGAACUCAAGACCUUAGCUUUGAUACCAUGUUAAGCUUCAUGCACUAGCCAAUGCAACCAAAAGUCCGAACUGAUGGAAAGGGCUAGUGCAAUCCACAUAUAUGUUUCUGAAUUCUGUGACUUUUCCUACUCAUACCAUAAGACACCGCUUGCUUCUCUUCAGAGAGAUCCUGCAUAUUGUUUUACAGAGAGAUCCUAGCCAACGCAACCAAAAGUCCGAACUGAUGAAAAAGGCUAAUGCAAUCCACAUAUACUGUAACACCCCCUCUCACGUGUGACGGCCCGAGAAACUCACGUAUGACUCAAGAGGCCUCUACGUGGACACAAAGGGAGGAUACCAGCAAUUUUUAAUAAAUUGCGAAAGGCAGGACUUGAACUCAAGACCUUAACUCUGAU